AACUGCGAGUGAAGCGGGAAAAGCUCAAAUUUAAAAUCUGGCGGUCCUUGGCCGUCCGAGUUGUAAUUUAGAGAAGCGUCUUCCGCGCUGGACCGUGCACAAGUCUCCUGGAAUGGAGCGUCAUAGAGGGUGAGAAUCCCGUCUUUGGCACGGAUGCCUGGUGCUUCUGCGAUGCGCUCUCGAAGAGUCGAGUUGUUUGGGAAUGCAGCUCAAAAUGGGUGGUGAACUCCAUCUAAAGCUAAAUAUUGGCGAGAGACCGAUAGCGAACAAGUACCGUGAGGGAAAGAUGAAAAGCACUUUGGAAAGAGAGUGAAACAGUACGUGAAAUUGUUGAAAGGGAAACGCUUGAAGUCAGUCGCGUCGACCGAGACUCAGCCUUGCCUUGGCUUGGUGUACUUCUCGGCCCGACGGGUCAGCGUCAAUUUUGCCCCUCGGAUAAUGGCAAGGGAAAGGUGGCACCUUUACGGGUGUGUUAUAGUCUCCUGUCGCAUGCGAGGGGUGGGAUUGAGGAACUCAGCGUGCACCUUGGUGUCGGGGCUUCG
rnacentral:rRNA from 1 species